ensembl:lncRNA
ACGGGCAGGCAGCUUUGCAGGCAGGACCCCCAUCCCCUCGGGGGUCAUCAGGGGACCGGGGCCCUUUCCCACGUUGGGGCUGUCACACUGAAUUACUCAGCUCUCCCUUGCUCCGGGCCAGCUCCAAACAAAGUCCUUCCCCUCCCCGCUAAUCCCUCCCGCCGCAGGUAAUUAAUUAAUUAAUAAAACAAAGCGGCCGCUCUUCCCCAGCGCCCCGGGAGCGGUUCCAGGGCUGGAAUCGGCCCCGGGCUGCAGGACACGGCCCAGGGGCUGCAGCGAGGAGGGGAGGGGGCCACGCUGGGGGGAGAGGGACGGGGCAGAGCAUCCUGGGCUGCUGAAUUCCCCCCGUGGCUUCUGAGUUCAUUCCCUGGCUGCUGAAUCCACCCCUUGGCUUCUGAAUUCAUUCCUUGGUUGCUGAAUUCCCCCCUUGGCUGCUGAAUUAAUUCCUUGGUUCUGAAUUCACCCCUUGGCUUCUGAAUUCCCCUCGUGGCUGCUGAAUUCACCCCUUGGAUUCUGAAUUAAUUCCUUGGCUGCUGAGUUCACCCCUUGGCUUCUGAAUUCACCCCUUGAAGUCUUAAAUCCCCCUUGGAUUCUGAAUUCCCCCAAGGGUGAGGAGACAACCUGGCCUUGCUUAAUUCAAGGUGCCAGCACUUGGAGGGGGAGAUGGGCUGGACCCACCCCUGUUUGUUCUCCAGGGUUUGCUGAAAAGGGGCAAAAAGCCUCCCCCAAGCAUUUGUCUCUCCUGAACUCGUCCCCAUCGGGCCCUGGAAGCCCAGGAGGAGCCAGGCAGGAAAAGUUUAUGAUUCCAAGUGAUCUCCAAAUCUCCUAUUCCAGGGCAACAGGAAGAACAGGAGCCCUGAGAGCUGCACGAGCUCAGCACAUCCCGGGGCUGCGACCCGGCCUCGAACCUCUUCCUCUACCCAAAGCCAGGGUUUCCUUUGCUCAGCAGGGGUUGAGCACCAGCAUUUCUCCUGUGCCAGGAGCCCUGGUGCUUCUCUGGUGCUUCUCAGGUGUUUCAGUGUCCCUGUGCCCUGUUUUGCAGGGCUGACAGGUUCCUCCAGGACACCAGGAAGGUCCGUCACGGCGCCGUCGGCCUCUUCUGCUGCGGGAUCUGCUGUUACCUCACAGCUCUCGCCCUCCACGUGCUGAGGGUGUCGGCGCUGAGGGUCGGGAUUCCCACCGCCUGCGUCCUGUUCUCCGGGAUCAUCGCGCUGCUCCUCACCGUGACCCGCCCCUGCUCCGGGCGCUUCCGCCUGCCCCGGCACCGCGUCCCGGAGCCUCCCCCGGCCCCAUCCGAGAACCCGGAGACUCCCGGCACGCGACGGGUCCGAGCGCGGGCCAGCCGCCCCGACAUCCCAUGGGAAGAAUUUUUCCUUUCCGGUUUUCCUGGAGGCAGGGAGGGCUCGGGCGGCCAGGCCUCACAGGGCGCUGUCGGCGGAGUCCGGGAUGCUGCGGGCGCAGGGCAAAGCCUGGAAUGUCAUCCCGCCGGAGAUGGGGGACGCCAUGGCGAGAAAAACCCCGGGCAAGGACCUGACGCUGGUGUGAGGGCAAGGGGGGACCCUCUCCAGGCCUCGUCCCGGGGGCAGCUGAAGGCGCCAGGGCUGGGAUUUGCACCCCCAGCUCGGAGCCCACGCGGGGUCGGGGCUCGCAAAGCUGCUCCUUCCUCCCCCUCCUCCUCCUGCCUUGUGCCUUUUUGCUGCUUUUGCUGAAUAAAUCACCACUUCUGCUCGGAGCCAAAAGCCUCUGAUCCCCUGCCCGGAGCCCCCCCCAGCCAGGACCCUCCCCCUGGUUUUCCAGCUGCGGGAAAGGACGUGGAAUGUGUGGGGUGGAGAAGCAGCGAGUGGAGCUGGUCCACCAGGAGACCGACC